GUUCAUUGAAAAUGACCCUUGGCAUUGGCUUUGACGGUUAUGAGGGGGAUGAGAUUUGCUGCUCAGAACCACUAGGGUCACCACCUGCUCCCUCAGUGUGUGUAGGAGGGGUGAAUCCCAGGCUCUGACAGCC
rnacentral:snoRNA from 1 species